GCCGGGGUGGCUGAGCGGACCAAGGCGACGGUCUCGAAAACCGUUGGUCGAAAGACCUCAAGGGUUCAAAUCCCUUCCCUGGCG
rnacentral:tRNA from 1 species